rnacentral:rRNA from 1 species
AUUGAACGCUGGCGGCAGGCCUAACACAUGCAAGUCGAACGAGUGGCGGACGGGUGAGUAAUGUCUGGGAAACUGCCCGAUGGAGGGGGAUCACUACUGGAAACGGUAGCUAAUACCGCAUAACCUCGGAUGUGCCCAGAUGGGUUUAGAUAGUAGGAGGGGUAACGGCUCACCUAGGCGACGAUCCCUAGCUGGUCUGAGAGGAUGCCCAGCCACACUGGGACUGAGACACGGCCCAGACUCCUACGGGAGGCAGCAGUGGGGAAUAUUGCACAAUGGGCGCAAGCCUGAUGCAGCCAUGCCGCGUGUAUGAAGAAGGCCUUCGGGUUGUAAAGUACUUUCAGCGAGGAGGCGUUACUCGCAGAGGAAGCACCGGCUAACUCCGUGCCAGCAGCCGCGGUAAUUC